rnacentral:rRNA from 1 species
AGCGAACGCUGGCGGCAGGCCUAACACAUGCAAGUCGAACGAACUCUUCGGAGUUAGUGGCGGACGGGUGAGUAACACGUGGGAACGUGCCUUUAGGUUCGGAAUAACUCAGGGAAACUUGUGCUAAUACCGAAUGUGCCCUUCGGGGAAGAUUAUCGCCUUUAGAGCGGCCCGCGUCUGAUUAGCUAGUUGGUGAGGUAAAGGCUCACCAAGGCUACGAUCAGUAGCUGGUCUGAGAGGAUGACCAGCCACAUUGGGACUGAGACACGGCCCAAACUCCUACGGGAGGCAGCAGUGGGGAAUCUUGCGCAAUGGGCGAAAGCCUGACGCAGCCAUGCCGCGUGGAUGAUGAAGGUCUUAGGAUUGUAAAAUCCUUUCACCGGUGAAGAUAAUGACUGUAGCCGGAGAAGAAGCCCCGGCUAACUUCGUGCCAGCAG